GAUGAACGCUAGCUACAGGCUUAACACAUGCAAGUCGCGGGGCAGCAUGGGGGUUGCUUGCAAUCCCCGAUGGCGACCGGCGCACGGGUGAGUAACGCGUAUUCAACCUGCCCUUCACCACGGGAUAACCCGGCGAAAGUCGGACUAAUACCGUAUGUUGUCCAUUGACGGCAUCCGAUUUGGACGAAAGGCUUGGCGGUGAGGGAUGGGGAUGCGUCCGAUUAGCCAGACGGCGGGGUAACGGCCCACCGUGGCUACGAUCGGUAGGGGUUCUGAGAGGAAGGUCCCCCACACUGGAACUGAGACACGGUCCAGACUCCUACGGGAGGCAGCAGUGAGGAAUAUUGAUCAAUGGGCGUAAGCCUGAACCAGCCAAGUAGCGUGCAGGAUGACGGCCCUAUGGGUUGUAAACUGCUUUUAUGCGGGGAUAAAGUGGCCCACGUGUGGGCUUUUGCAGGUACCGCAUGAAUAAGGACCGGCUAAUUCCGUG
rnacentral:rRNA from 1 species